rnacentral:lncRNA from 1 species
UCUCUAUAAUAUGGCUCUGUGCUAUUUUUUCUUAUUUAAUUAUUUUCAAAACCCAAUAAGUUACUUUUUUUUUUUUUUUCAGAUGGAGCCUUGCUCUGUUGCCCAGGCUGGAGUGCAGUGGUGUGAUCUCGGCUCACUGCAAGCUCUGCUUCCCGGGUUCAUGCCAUUCUCCUGCCUCAGCCUCCCGAGUAGCUGGGACUACAGGCGCCCGCCACCACGCCUGGCUGAUUUUUUUGUAUGUUUUUAGUAGAGACGGGGUUUCACCAUGCUAGCCAGGAUGGUCUCGAUCUCCUUAUCUUGUGAUCCACCUGCCUCGGCCUCCCAAGAGCUGGGAUUACAGGCGGAGCCACCGCGCCCGGCCAUAAGUUACCAUUAUUAUGCUCAUUUUACAGGUAAUGUGCUGGCUUCUGUCUUUGCCUUCUGCCGUGAAUGAAAGCUUAGUGAGACUCUUACCAGAAGCCCAGAAGACGUUGGUGCCAUGGUGAUACAGCCUGCUGAACUGUGAGCCAAUAUAACCUCUUCUCUUUGGAAACUACCCAGCCUCAGAUAUUUCUUUUCUGUGUCACAAAAAUGGCCUAAAAAUGGUAAACUGAUCUGUGAUGCAGAAGCAAAUAUAUUUAAAUAGACAAAGGAUUCAACAAAUCAUUCUAGAACAAUUGGACAUCCACGUGUAUUCAAUUAAAAAUAAUGUAGACAUAUCUUAUACUCUGUUGUGAUUUGAAUGUUUGCUUCUUAGAAAUUCAUGUUGAAACUUAAUUAAAAUGUGGUAAAAUUUAGAGGUAGGGCCUUUAAGAGGUGAUUGGGUCAUGAGGGUUCUGCCCUCAUGAAUGGAUUUAAUACAUUCAUAGGUUAAUGGAAAAUAGAUUAAUGGGUUACCAAUAGAGUGGGACUGGUGGCUUUGUAGAAAGGAAAAGAAAGACCUGAGCUAGUAUACUCAGCCCCCUUACCAUAUGAUACCCUAAACAACCUCAGGACUCUACAGAGAGUUCCAAUCAGCAAGAAGUCUCUCACCAGAUGUGUCCCCUUGACUUCUCAACCUCCAAAACUAUAAAAAACUGAUACAUUUUUAAAAAUGAAUUUAAGCAUAUAAAUAUUAAGUUUUAAGUAUUCUGUUAUAAGCACCAGAAAACAGAUUAAGAUAGAAAAUUUGUGCAAUGAGUUGGGUUGUUGAAAAUAUAGAAGCAGCUUUGGAACUGGGCAAUGGGCAGAGGCUGGAAGAAUUUGGAGGAGUAGGCUGUAAAAAUCCUGCAUUUUGGUGAAUUCAGCAUUAAGAAAAAUUUUGGUAAGGGCUCUGAGGACAAGCAGACUAGGGAAAGUUUGGAACUCUUUAGAGAUUGUUUAACUCUAAGGAGUUAGUUGUGAUCAGAAUGAUGGUGGAAAUGUGGACAGUGAAGGCCAAUCAGACAAGAUCCGAGGAUCAAGUUUUGGAAGCUUAAGUAAAGGCCAUCGUUGUAAAUUGGCAAAAAGCCUAGCUGAACUGUGUUCAUGCCUGAGGGUUUCAUUGAAGUCCAAACUUGAGAGUGACGAAAUAGGGUAUCAAGUGGAAAAAACAUCCAAGCAGGAAAGUAAUCAAGCUGCUGCAUUUUUAACUUUUAACUGCUCACAUUAACCCAUGAGAGGGAUAAAAUAACUUGACAAUUCCAUUCAUAAUCAAAAGAAGCAAUUUGGAAAGAUAGCAAAAACUCUCAGCUUGGUAAUGUAAAGAAUGAAAAAGCAGGUUCAGGAAGGAAAACCAAGGCUGUAGCUUAGAUACUGUUUGCCAAAGAUGUUCAUAUGGAUUGAAGGAAGCCAGGUGAUAUUCCUAGAGACAAUGGAAGGGAGAUCUUAAAGGUAUUUUGCAGAUCUUCUAGGCUGUUCCUCCUAUUGAAGUACAGAGGCCUAUGAAGCCAGAAUGAUUUUGAGAGAUGGGCCUGAGCCCUCCACAGGCUUGCUGACCACUACUCACUUAGGUCUCUUUUCCCCAAAUUCCAACAUAGGGUUUCUUGCUUGUUCCAAGGGCCUUACGAAUUCUUAGCAGCCUCCAUCCAGAUUUCAAAAGACGUCCCAGAAGGCCUUGGGAUCCAAACAGAGACAUGUCUUUGAGGAGGAGCCACUACAGGGAGCUGCCACUAGAGCAAUGCAGAAUGUAAAAAUGAGACGGAGCUGCUGCAGAGGGCCCCAACUAGGGCAAUGCCUAGCAGAGACUUGGUAGCAGGACCACCAUUAGGUCUCCAGAACUGUGGAGUCACUGUCAACAUGCAAUGCUCACCUGAAAAAGCUUCAGGACUCUAACCAGCAAGAGCAGCCACAUGGGCUGCAUCCAGCAAAACCACAGGGGUGGGUUUCUCUGAGGCGUUGGGAGUAUAACCUCCACUCCAGUGUAUCCAGGAGUUGGCCCCUGAUGCAUAAACAGUGGCAUAGAAAGAUUCUUGAGAGAAGAUACAGGGAAGAAAAUGUUACUGGGAUGAACCUGGGAUGGAGAGAAGAUUCCAACCUCCACUUCUUUUUCAUAAA